UACGUAGGUGACAAGCGUUGUCCGGAUUUACUGGGCGUAAAGAGCGCGCAGGCGGUCGUUCAAGUCGAGUGUGAAAGCCCCCGGCUCAACUGGGGAGGGUCACUCGAUACUGAUCGACUCGAAGGCAGGAGAGGGUAGUGGAAUUCCCGGUGUAGUGGUGAAAUGCGUAGAUAUUGGGAGGAACACCAAUGGCGAAGGCAGCUCGCUGGGACGGUACUGACGCUGAGACGCGAAAGCGUGGGGAGCAAACAGG
rnacentral:rRNA from 1 species